rnacentral:sRNA from 1 species
UCUUCUAGUGUCUCCGGAGACCGGGCAAGA